rnacentral:rRNA from 1 species
AAAACGACUCUCGGCAACGGAUAUCUCGGCUCUCGCAUCGAUGAAGAACGCAGCGAAAUGCGAUACUUGGUGUGAAUUGCAGAAUCCCGCGAACCAUCGAGUCUUUGAACGCAAGUUGCGCCCGAAGGCUUUCGGCCGAGGGCACGUCUGCCUGGGUGUCACG